UGUGUGAGUUCCCAGCGGAGGCCCCUAAGAGCUGCUGCACAUUUCCACUCUCUUUCGGGCUCUGUCACAGCCAUGAGAAGAGCCUAUCCUCGUUAGCCGCCUGGUUUAAGGAAGGGGAGAGACAGCAGUGGAGAUCCAGACCUGCAGACUUGCAGUGUGGAGCAGACUGCCCCAGCCUAGCCUUGCCUGUGUUAGCUCAGUCCACCCCCUACCCCACAGAUGCAUGAGUGAGUUCAGCCAAGAUCAGCAGAGCUGCUGCAACUGAGCCUGGCCCAUCCACAGACAGGUGCCGGUCACAGAAAAGAAGUUUUGCCCACCGGGGAUCCUCACACCCAAGGCAGAAGCCAGGAAAACUGUGUCAGGAGAUUCAAAAGGCAGGGACCUUAGCCAUGUUAACCCCUGAAUGGCAGCAGUAAAGACGGCUUUAUCCACGGGACCUGAGGCUGUGCCAAAGUGAAGAUGGUGCAACAACUCUGAAGAGAUACAGGGAGCUGCCCUCUUGGGGUCAAACAGACUUUCCGUAGUGAUGGAGCAUCUACCCUUGCUACUCAAAGUGUGGUCCAGGGACCAGCAGAAUCAGCACGACCUAGGAAUCUGCUGUACCUGCAGAAUCCUGGACCCCACCCCAGACCUCCUGAGUCAGAAUCUGUAUUUUAACAAAACGCCGGAUGACGUGUAUGCAUGUUAAAGUUUGAGAAGUACAUGCUACCAGCUGUCUAGUGGUUUUCCACAGUAGCAGCCUGGACCGGCUAAGAAGGGACACAGUUUGUCCAGCCUGGUGAUCCUUGGUCAAGCCGGAAUGCUGUCUUGAGAAGAAUGCAGGGACUGCAUCCAGAUUUGUGAGAGAGAGUGCUGUGAUCAUCUAAUAAUGUCUGUAUUGCUGUGAUCAACUAAUAAUGUCUGCAGUGGCCAGCCCUUAUGUACCAGGCUUAAAGUAUUCCCACCAACCCCUAGCUUUCAACUAAAGUCUUUUGAA